rfam:Angomonas deanei Cont12685, whole genome shotgun sequence.
GGUUCACUUUGGAGUUGUGUCUUUAACAAAAUCGUGUUUCUGUUUGCACACUCGAGUGACCCGAGA